rnacentral:rRNA from 1 species
GGCUUGUCCGUCGGGAGGGCGCUUACCACUUUGUGAUUCAUGACUGGGGUGAAGUCGUAACAAGGUAACCGUAGGGGAACCUGCGGUUGGAUCACCUCCUUACCUUAAAGAA